GGACCGCACAAUUGAUUCAGCAAGUUUAGCAGAACGGUUUUGGGAAAGCCGGCCAGAGAGGGUGAAAGCCCCGUAGGCGAAAGACGAGCUGACAUGGCGGUAUCCAGAGUACCACGAGACACGAGAAACCUUGUGGGAACGUGCGGGGACCACCCCGUAAGGCUAAAUACUCCUUAGUGACCGAUAGCGCAUAGUACUGUGAAGGAAAGGUGAAAAGGACCCCGGGAGGGGAGUGAAAGAGAACCUGAAACCAUAUGUUUACAAGCUGUGGAAGCGCUUUAUAUGCGCAACCGCGUACUUUUUGUAGAACGGUCCGGCGAGUUACGCCGGCUGGCAAGGUUAAGCACUGAAGGUGCGGAGCCGAAGGGAAACCAAGUCUGAAGAGGGCGCCAAGUCAGCCGGAGUAGACCCGAAACCGGGUGAUCUAUCCAUGUCCAGGUUGAAGUUGCCGUAAAAGGCAAUGGAGGACCGAACCCACAUCCGUUGAAAAGGGUGGGGAUGAGGUGUGGAUAGGGGAGAAAUUCCAAUCGAACCCGGAGAUAGCUGGUUCUCCUCGAAAUAGCUUUAGGGCUAGCCUCAUAUUCAAGUCUUGCGGAGGUAGAGCACUGAAUUUCCUAGGGGGCGUCAAAGCUUACCAAAGAAUAUCAAACUCCGAAUGCCGUGUAGAUGAUGUAUGGGAGUCAGACUGUCCGAGAUAAGUUGGGCAGUCAAAAGGGAAAGAGCCCAGACCUACAGCUAAGGCCCCAAAAUGUGUGUUAAGUGGAAAAGGAUGUGGGAUUUCGAAGACAACUAGGAUGUUGGCUCAGAAGCAGCCAUCCAUUAAAAGAGUGCGUAAUAGCUCACUAGUCGAGAGGUCCUGCGCCGAAAAUGUCCGGGGCUGAAACACACUGCCGAAGCUUGGGAAUUGAUGAAUGUCAAUUGGUAGAGGAGCAUUCUUAACAGCGGCGAAGCUGUACCGUAAGGAGCAGUGGAGCGUUAAGAAGAGAGAAUGCCGGAAUGAGUAGCGAGAGGAAGGUGGGAAUCCUUCCGGCCGAAUAUCUAAGGUUUCCAGAGUAAAGCUGAUCUGCUCUGGGUAAGUCGGGGCCUAAGGCGAGGUCGAAAGACGUAGCCGAUGGACAACAGGUUGAAAUUCCUGUACUAUGAUAUGACAGAACUGUGGGGACGCAGGGAGAGAGCACAUCCCGGGGGUGGAAUACCCGGGGCAAGCGGGGUAGGGGUAUGCCAGGCAAAUCCGGUAUGCAACCCGAAGACGUGACGCGGAGCGAACUUAUAGUAGCGAAGUGUGUGAGCUGACUGCCAAGAAAAGCCGCUAUUGUUCAUAUCAUACCCGUACCGUAAACCGACACAGGUGGAUGAGGAGAGAAUCCUAAGGCCGACGGGAGAAGCAUUGUUAAGGAACUCGGCAAAAUGACCCCGUAACUUCGGGAGAAGGGGUGCCCCAGAAAUGGGGCCGCAGAGAAUUGGCCCAAGCAACUGUUUAGCAAAAACACAGGUCUAUGCAAAACCGAAAGGUGAGGUAUAUGGGCUGACGCCUGCCCGGUGCUGGAAGGUUAAGGGGAGAGGUUAGCGCAAGCGAAGCUUUGAACUUAAGCCCCAGUAAACGGCGGCCGUAACUAUAACGGUCCUAAGGUAGCGAAAUUCCUUGUCGGGUAAGUUCCGACCCGCACGAAAGGCGUAAUGAUUUGGGCACUGUCUCAACAAUGCACCCGGUGAAAUUGAAAUACCAGUGAAGAUGCUGGUUACCUGCGCCAGGACGGAAAGACCCCAUGGAGCUUUACUCCAGCUUGAUACUGGGAUUCGGUAUUGCAUGUACAGGAUAGGUGGGAGGCUAAGAACUUAUGACGCCAGUCGUAAGGGAGCCGCUGUUGGGAUACCACCCUUGCAGUACUGGGUUUCUAACCAUCGGCCGUGAUCCGGCCGGGGGACAAUGUCAGGUGGGGAGUUUGACUGGGGCGGUCGCCUCCGAAAGGGUAUCGGAGGCGCUCAAAGGUCUUCUCAGAAUGGUUGGAAACCAUUCGCAGAGUGCAAAGGCAUAAGAAGGCUUGACUGCGACACCGACGGGUGGAGCAGGUACGAAAGUAGGACUUAGUGAUCCGGUGGUAUAAAGUGGGAUUGCCAUCGCUCAACGGAUAAAAGCUACCCUGGGGAUAACAGGCUUAUCACUCCCAAGAGUUCACAUCGACGGAGUGGUUUGGCACCUCGAUGUCGGCUCAUCGCAUCCUGGGGCUGAAGUAGGUCCCAAGGGUUGGGCUGUUCGCCCAUUAAAGCGGUACGCGAGCUGGGUUCAGAACGUCGUGAGACAGUUCGGUCCCUAUCCGGCGUGGGCGUAGGAUAUUUGAGAGGAGCUGACCUUAGUACGAGAGGACCGGGUUGGACUGGCCGCUGGUGUAUCUGUUGUCCUGCCAAGGGCACAGCAGAGUAGCCAAGCCGGGAAGGGAUAAACGCUGAAGGCAUCUAAGCGUGAAGCCCCCCUCAAGAUGAGAUAUCCCAUAACGUCAAGUUAGUAAGACCCCUUGAAGACGACGAGGUAGAUAGGGCAGAGGUGGAAGUGCGGCAACGCAUGGAGCUGACUGUUACUAAUAGGUCGAGGGC
rnacentral:rRNA from 1 species